rnacentral:rRNA from 1 species
CAGUCGCCGCGGUAAUACGUAAGUGGCAAGCGUUGUCCGGAAUUAUUGGGCGUAAAGCGCGCGCAGGUGGUUUAAUAAGUCUGAUGUGAAAGCCCACGGCUCAACCGUGGAGGGUCAUUGGAAACUGUUAAACUUGAGUGCAGGAGAGAAAAGUGGAAUUCCUAGUGUAGCGGUGAAAUGCGUAGAGAUUAGGAGGAACACCAGUGGCGAAGGCGGCUUUUUGGCCUGUAACUGACACUGAGGCGCGAAAGCGUGGGGAGCAAACAGGAUUAGAUACCCGCGUAGUCCCUGUCUCUUAUAC